ensembl:misc_RNA Y_RNA Y RNA
AGCUGGUCCAAUGGCAGUGGUGCUUACAACUAAUUCAUCAAAACCAGUUAUAGAUUUGUUUCUUCUCCAUUCCCAUUGCUUCACUUGACUAGCUUAAA